UGGUCCUGGCCUUAUAAUCAGCUAUUACUCAACUUACACAUGCAAGUCUCCGCACCCCUGUGAGAACGCCCUUAAAUCCCCAAAGGGAUUAGGAGCUGGUAUCAGGCUCGAUUAUCAGCCCACGACACCUAGCCAUGCCACACCCACAAGGGUAUACAGCAGUGAUUAAUAUUGACCAUAAGCGCAAGCUUGAUUCAGUCAGAGUAAACAGAGCCGGCAAAUCUGGUGCCAGCCGCCGCGGCCAUACCACGGGCUCGAACUGAUUAGAUUCGGCGUAAAGCGUGAUUAAAGCUACCUUAAGCUGCAGUUAAACUGGAACUAAGCAGUAAAAUCCUUGAAUCCAGGAAACACAAGAACGAAAGUCACUGCAAAACAACCUACUUGACCUCACGACAGCUGGGAUACAAACUAGGAUUAGAUACCCUACUAUGCCCAGCCGUAAACCUUAACUUACACCCAAAUCGCCAGGGAACUACGAGCAAUGCUUAAAACCCAAAGGACUUGACGGUGCCCUAUACCACCUAGAGGAGCCUGUCCUAUAAUCGAUGACCCCCGUUUAACCUCACCACUUUUUGCCUAUCAGUCUGUAUACCUCCGUCGUCAGCUUACCACGUGAGCGAUCUCAGUAAGCAAGAGGGCUUAUUCGCCAAAACGUCAGGUCAAGGUGCAGCUAAUAAAGUGGGAAGAGAUGGGCUACACUCUCUAACCUAGAAGACACGAAAGACUAUUUAUGAAACUUUAGUCAGAAGGCGGAUUUAGUAGUAAAACGAGACAAGAGUGCUCGCUUAAACACGGCCCUGGGGUGUGUACACACCGCCCGUCACCCUCCUCGAAAACCUAACAGAAAGUAUUUAACACCCUAUCAUUAUAGAGAGGAGGCAAGUCGUAACAUGGUAAGCUUCACCGGAAGGUGUGCUUGGAAA
rnacentral:ncRNA from 1 species